GGCAAGCCAUAUAUUUUGUCUUCUGUGUCUUGAAUACUAACCAUUAUUUCUAUUUUUUUCUGUUACGUUGUAGGCAAUGGUCAGAAUCGUGUACGCACCCAUGGAAGACGGCAAUAUAGAAAGUGGCAUGCAUAGGGCUGGUAGAUAAAAUGAUAGAAUUUUAAGUCUUUUCCUGAAUAAGGAGGCAGCAAUGGCCAAAGGGAUCCAUGCAAGAAGGACCCAUGUAUUUGAUUUAAAAUAGCAUCUUAAAGUCAUCAACAAAAAGGAGACUUUCCCAGUGUAUUACCACCCUUGGAUGGCUAUCAAGAAGAAUUAAAAAGAGCAACAACCUCAAAUUACUACCCUGUGGCACAGCAGAAACUGCAGAAAAACCCUCAGACAUUGAUUUUGCAACUUUAAAAACCUGUUGUAGUACAAACAAAUUUUGUAAACUAUAUACGCUACCUAAUAUAAGUUCAUUCAAAUA